GUUCACUUAUCAUUUUUACAACACCCAGAAGCAUAAAUGUAUAGAUUUCUUACAUGCCUUGACUACAAUAAUAACUCUAGUGUUGCAUUGCUGAGGCAGAUGUUUGCUGCAGUGGUCUGGGCGUGUAGUGCACAAGCCCAGAUGCCUGGCUGGACCAUUGCACCACAGCAUCUGGUAUAAUGUAUCUAUUUAACAAGAUUUAACAUUAUUUUGAAUCUAUGCUUAGAUCAGUGAUGUUAUGCAUUUUCAAAAACAAAAUCCUGUCAUUAAAAGCAGCCUGUCAUUGUGUGUCCUUAUCACUCUCCCACUUGGCACAGAUUGGAGCAGGACGUUAAGAAGCUGAAGGCGGACUUGCAGGCCAGCCGACAGGUGGAACAGGACCUGCGCAGCCAGAUUGGCUCGCUAGGCGGUGCUGAGCGCUCCAUACGCACUGAGCUGAGCCAGCUGCGCCAGGAGAACGAGCUGCUGCAAAGCAAGCUUCAUAAUGCUGUGCAGGCAAAACAGAAGGACAAACAAGCAGUGGGCCAACUGGAGAAGAGGCUUAAAGCAGAGCAGGAGGCUCGAGCCUCCGCUGAGAAACAACUCACAGAUGAAAAGAAGCGAAAGAAGUUAGAGGAGACCACAGCAGCCAGAGCAGUAGCAUUAGCAGCAGCAUCCAGAGGGGAGUGCACAGACACGCUGCGACGGCGGAUCACUGAAUUGGAAACGGAGUGUAAGAAACUAUCAAUGGACAUCAAGCUAAAGGAAGACCAGAUCAGAGAGCUCGAACUGAAAGUGCAGGUGAGUAUUUUUUUAUUAGC